rnacentral:lncRNA from 1 species
GUAGAGGACAAUCAUAAGUGAUUGUUCAUAAUGUCGCAACAACAUGUCUCACAAAUAAAGAAGAAACGUGGGAAAAGGGAGCCAUCAUUGCAUUCUUAGGGCAAUGUUUCAAAGAGGGAAUAAUUUAUAGAGGGUUCUAUUAUGGUAGAGAGAAUUGAUUUUUCUGUCGAGUUAGUUAUUUUUGGGCAUUUGAUUGGAGAGAGAAAUGAAAGAAUAAGUUAAUGAAUGGUUUUCAUGAUUAUC